rnacentral:ncRNA from 1 species
UCGGGGUGACCCCGAAAUGUCAGGGUCACCCCGGUUCGGAAGCGGGGUGACCCUGACGAAGCCUGGUGUCGAGGUCGCCGGGGGCGUCCGGGAUGCCGCCGAGGGGUCCGCGUGACCGCCCUCUCGCGGGUCCCUGAUGUUUGACGAAUACGAUUCUGCUGUA